rnacentral:rRNA from 1 species
GGAUUAGAUACCCUGGUAGUCCACGCCCUAAACGAUGGGCACUAAGUGUCGGCGGGUUACCGCCGGUGCCGCAGCUAACGCAGUAAGUGCCCCGCCUGGGGAGUACGGCCGCAAGGUUGAAACUCAAAGGAAUUGACGGGGGCCCGCACAAGCGGUGGAGCAUGUGGUUUAAUUCGACGCAACGCGAAGAACCUUACCCAGGUUGGACAUGCAAGUAGUAAGAACCUGAAAGGGGGAUGAGCCCGCAAGGGCAGCUUGCUCAGGUGCUGCAUGGCUGUCGUCAGCUCGUGCCG